GGGAUGUAACUUACCAUGCGAAGGUAUGGGGAAGGGAUGUGACUUACCAAGUUAUGGAAAAGGGAUGUAACUUACCAUGCGAAGGUAUAAGAAAGGGAUGUGACUUACCAAGGUAUGGGAAAGGGAUGUGACUUACCAAGGUAUGAGAAAGGGAUCUGUUUUUCCAAGGUAUGGGAAAGGGUUGUGACUUAUCAAGGUAUGGGAAAGGGAUGUGACUUACCAAGGUAUGGGAAAGGGAUGUGACUUACCAAGGUAUUGGAAAGGGAUGUAACUUACCAAGGUAUGAGAAAGGGAUCUGUUUUACUAAGGUAUGGGAAAGGGAUGUGACGUACCUUACCAAGGUAUGGGAAAGUGGUGUUACUUACCAAGAUAUGGGAAAGGGAUGUGACUUACCAAGGUAUGAAAAAGGGAUGUGACUUACCUUACCAAGGUAUGUGAAAGGGAUGUAACUUACCAUGCGAAGGUAUGGGGAAGGGAUGUGACUUACCAAGGUAUGGGAAAGGGAUGUGACUUACCAAGGUAUGGUAAAGGGAUGUGACUUACCAAGGUAUGAGUAAGGGAUCUGUUUUUCCAAGGUAUGGGAAAGGGAUGUGACUUACCAAGGUAUGGGAAAGGGAUGUGACUUACCAAGGUAUGAGAAAGGGAUGUGACUUACCAAGGUAUGUGAAAGGGAUGUGACUUACCAAGAGAUGGGAGAGGGAUUGGAAAGGGAUGUUACUUACCGUAUCAAGGUAUGGGAAAGGGAGGUGACAUACCAAGGUAUGGGAAAGGGAUGAGACUUACCAAGGUAUGGGAAAGGGAUGUGACUUACCGUAUCAAGGUAUGGUAAAGGGAGGUGACUUACCAAGGUAAGGGAAAAAGAUGUGACUUACCAAGGUAUGAGAAAGGGAUGUGACUUACCAAGGUAUGUGAAAGGGAUGUGACUUACCAAGAGAUGGGAAAGGAAUUGGAAAGGGAUGUGACUUACCAAGGUAUGGGAAAGGGAUGAGACUUACCAAGGUAUGGGAAAGGGAUGAGACUUACCAAGGUAUGGGAAAGGGAUGAGACUUACCGUAUCAAGGUAUGGUAAAGGGAGGUGACUUACCAAGGUAGGGGGAAGGGAUGUGACUUACCAAGGUAUGGGAAGGGAUGUGACUUACCAAGGUAUGGGAAAGGGAUGUUACUUACCGUAUUAAGGUAUGGGAAAGACAGGUGACUCACCAAGGUAGGGGAAAGGGAUGUGACUCACCAAGGUAUGGGGAAGGGAGGUGACAUACCAAGGUAUAGGGAAGGGAGGUGACAUACCAAGGUAUGGUAAAGGGAGGUGACUCACCAAGGUAGGGGAAAGGGAGGUGACAUACCAAGGUAUGGGAAAGGGAGGUGACUUACCAAGGUAUGGGAAGGGAUGUGACUCACCAAGGUAGGGGAAAGGGAGGUGACUCACCAAGGUAGGGGAGAGGGAGGUGACUCACCAAGGUAGGGGAAAGGGAGGUGACUCACCAAGGUAGGGGAAAGGGAGGUGACUCACCAAGGUAGGGGAAAGGGAGGUGACUUACCAAGGUAGGGGAAAGGGAGGUGACUCACCAAGGUAGGGGAAAGGGAGGUGACUCACCAAGGUAUGGGAAAGGGAGGUGACUCACCAAGGUAUGGGAAGGGAUGUGACUUACCAAGGUAUGAAAAAGGGAUGUGACUUACCUUACCAAGGUAUGUGAAAGGGAUGUAACUUACCAUGCGAAGGUAUGGGGAAGGGAUGUGACUUACCAAGUUAUGGAAAAGGGAUGUAACUUACCAUGCGAAGGUAUAAGAAAAGGAUGUGACUUACCAAGGUAUGGGAAAGGGAUGUGACUUACCAAGGUAUGAGAAAGGGAUCUGUUUUUCCAAGGUAUGGGAAAGGGUUGUGACUUAUCAAGGUAUGGGAAAGGGAUGUGACUUACCAAGGUAUGGGAAAGGGAUGUGACUUACCAAGGUAUUGGAAAGGGAUGUAACUUACCAAGGUAUGAGAAAGGGAUCUGUUUUACUAAGGUAUGGGAAAGGGAUGUGACGUACCUUACCAAGGUAUGGGAAAGUGAUGUUACUUACCAAGAUAUGGGAAAGGGAUGUGACUUACCAAGGUAUGAAAAAGGGAUGUGACUUACCUUACCAAGGUAUGUGAAAGGGAUGUAACUUACCAUUCGAAGGUAUGGGGAAGGGAUGUGACUUACCAAGGUAUGGGAAAGGGAUGUGACUUACCAAGGUAUGGUAAAGGGAUGUGACUUACCAAGGUAUGAGUAAGGGAUCUGUUUUUCCAAGGUAUGGGAAAGGGAUGUGACUUACCAAGGUAUGGGAAAGGGAUGUGACUUACCAAGGUAUGAGAAAGGGAUGUGACUUACCAAGGUAUGUGAAAGGGAUGUGACUUACCAAGAGAUGGGAGAGGGAUUGGAAAGGGAUGUUACUUACCGUAUCAAGGUAUGGGAAAGGGAGGUGACAUACCAAGGUAUGGGAAAGGGAUGAGACUUACCAAGGUAUGGGAAAGGGAUGUGACUUACCGUAUCAAGGUAUGGUAAAGGGAGGUGACUUACCAAGGUAAGGGAAAAAGAUGUGACUUACCAAGGUAUGAGAAAGGGAUGUGACUUACCAAGGUAUGUGAAAGGGAUGUGACUUACCAAGAGAUGGGAAAGGAAUUGGAAAGGGAUGUGACUUACCAAGGUAUUGAAAAGGGAUGUUACUUCCCGUAUCAAGGUAUGGGAAGGGAGGUGACUUACCAAGGUAAGGGAAAAAGAUGAGACUUACCAAGGUAUGGGAAAGGGAUGUGACUUACCGUAUCAAGGUAUGGUAAAGGGAGGUGACUUACCAAGGUAGGGGGAAGGGAUGUGACUUACCAAGGUAUGGGAAGGGAUGUGACUUACCAAGGUAUGGGAAAGGGAUGUUACUUACCGUAUUAAGGUAUGGGAAAGACAGGUGACUCACCAAGGUAGGGGAAAGGGAUGUGACUCACCAAGGUAUGGGGAAGGGAGAUGACAUACCAAGGUAUGGUAAAGGGAGGUGACUCACCAAGGUAGGGGAAAGGGAGGUGACAUACCAAGGUAUGGGAAAGGGAGGUGACUUACCAAGGUAUGGGAAGGGAUGUGACUCACCAAGGUAGGGGAAAGGGAGGUGACUCACCAAGGUAGGGGAGAGGGAGGUGACUCACCAAGGUAGGGGAAAGGGAGGUGACUCACCAAGGUAGGGGAAAGGGAGGUGACUCACCAAGGUAUGGGAAAGGGAGGUGACUCACCAAGGUAUGGGAAGGGAUGUGACUUACCAAGGUAUGAAAAAGGGAUGUGACUUACCUUACCAAGGUAUGUGAAAGGGAUGUAACUUACCAUGCGAAGGUAUGGGGAAGGGAUGUGACUUACCAAGGUAUGGGAAAGGGAUGUGACUUACCAAGUUAUGGAAAAGGGAUGUAACUUACCAUGCGAAGGUAUAAGAAAGGGAUGUGACUUACCAAGGUAUGGGAAAGGGAUGUGACUUACCAAGGUAUGAGAAAGGGAUCUGUUUUUCCAAGGUAUGGGAAAGGGAUGUGACUUACCAAGGUAUGGGAAAGGGAUGUGACUUACCAAGGUAUGAGAAAGGGAUGUGACUUACCGUAUCAAGGUAUGGGAAAGGGAGGUGACAUACCAAGGUAUGGGAAAGGGAUGAGACUUACCAAGGUAUGGGAAAGGGAUGUGACUUACCGUAUCAAGGUAUGGUAAAGGGAGGUGACUUAC